AAAACACGCAAAGUAUGAAAGUUGGUUGAAUGGAAAAAAGUGUGAAUGAGUGAGUGCGUGUAGAACUACAUUUAACUACGACAAAUAAUUCUUCACUACACAACACUUUCAGGGUGAUGCGGUCUAUGUGGCAGGAGGUCGCCCCACUUACACAAAUACACACACUACACAUACACUAGGGAGAUCUUCACCAAGAACGAAGGAGAAAACAGUCAAAUAAGUCUGCCUGAAACACGUACAAGAGAUAACGAACCGACCUCAACUCUUUAGGUAAACCGAGUCCUCUUUUAGUUAAGUUAGUCUUUCAAUUAACAGUCCAGUUG